GGGGGACGUCUAGCGAGACUGCCAGUGAUAAACUGGGAAGAAGGUGGGGGAUGACGUCAAAUCAUCAUGCCCCUUAUGACCUGGGCUACAAACGUGAUACAAUGGCUGAAACAAAGGGCAGCGAAGCAGUGAUGUGGAGCGAAACCCAAAAAAGCAGUCUCAGUUCGGAUUGAAGUCUGCAACUCGACUUCAUGAAGUCGGAAUCGCUAGUAAUCGCGGAUCAGAACGCCGCGGUGAAUACGUUCUCGGGGUUU
rnacentral:rRNA from 1 species